GUCCCUUCAUGGAUAUUCAAUAAAAUUGAAACGAUACAUAGAAAAUCAAUAUAAUCCUUGAAUAAGAAUGACAUGUACAAAUCAAUAAAUGGUCUAUUUUUCA
rfam:Solanum tuberosum cultivar DM 1-3 516 R44 scf00174_12, whole genome shotgun sequence.